rnacentral:rRNA from 1 species
UACGUAGGGUGCGAGCGUUAAUCGGAAUUACUGGGCGUAAAGCGUGCGCAGGCGGUUCGUUGUGUCGGCGGUGAAAGCCCCGGGCUUAACCUGGGAAUGGCCGUUGAAACUGGCGAACUGGAGUGUGGCAGAGGGGGGUGGAAUUCCGCGUGUAGCAGUGAAAUGCGUAGAGAUGCGGAGGAACACCGAUGGCGAAGGCAGCCCCCUGGGCUAACACUGACGCUCAGGAGCGAAAGCGUGGGGAGCGAUCCGG